CGUACUACGAUAGAGAUGUUUUGUGAAAAAUCAGUGUCCCCCGUGUAUUCAUGAGCACACGAUGAAGUCGCAAACGAGCACGAUCCUUGUCGCUUGUCUCGCUAUCGUGAUGUCUAACAAUUUUGGAAUGGGUGUCGAGGUUUCGUCGAUGGUCGACUUGGAUUCCGAUGAAAGUGAAGAGACGCUGAGCAAUGCAACCUUGGACACAAUCGUAGAUCAGGACGAAUCUACUGGUCCAUUGGAAUCAGUCUUGCGUACGCCCAAGCCAGUUGUAAUCGGCGGACGUCGUGGAAGCGGGCUCGUAAAAGCAAGUGAACCAAGAAAAAGAAGAAUUUAUUCUUGGCACGAUGCUACAGUUAAGCAACCGAAAAUUAUCAAUAACAUUCACAUCGUAGUAAAUGGCAACGACAGUGUGCCAAGUGCAACAAAGUCUUGCAAACGUAGUGUAUGUAACGUCUCCGUUUCUUCGGAAUCAGACGAGAAUGGUAAUAUUGUAACCGAGGUGCAUCUUAGCAUUGUCACGAGCGCGGAAUCGGACAACAAGAUCGAUGAUGAUGUUCCGGUAAUUGACGGUCUUCGAGGUCUCGGCAAGAAUCAUGACGAGCAUCCAGUUUUUUCAGUAAAUACGCCGAAGCCGGUAUAUUCGCAUUUACAUCGUGAAAAUAUCCCACAGAUUCAAGUCAAUUAUCAGGGAUAUGGCGAGCCCUGGUAUCAACAUCGACGAAUUUUUCAACGGCCGCGAGGAUAUUGGAGCUAUAAUUCCGCGGGAUUUCGAGGGUACAAUACACGGCCGCGACCCAUUGAUGAUAAAAUUGGACCACCGCUUAGCAAAACCAAAGCCAGUGAUACGGUAAAAUGAAAUAUUCACUAUAAUAUUGUGAAAUUUUUAUGAUAAAUACGUUACUAUACAAAAGAAAAUUGAAUCGCGAUAUUAAAUGCUAUUUCGCGUAGUCACAUAAUAAAAUAAAUCAUUAUAAAAGCA